AUUGAACGCUGGCGGCAGGCCUAACACAUGCAAGUCGGGCGAGCGGCGGACGGGUGAGUAAUGUUUGGGGAUCUGCCUGAUGUCGGGGGAUCACUACUGCCACCGGUAGCUACCACCGCCUACCAUCAGCUGAACCCAUGUGGUAUUAGCUUGUAGGUGAGGUAUCGGGGCACCUAGGCGACGAUCCCUCGCUGGUCUGAGAGGAUGCUAAGCCAGACCGGGAAUGAGACGCGGCCCAGACUCCUACGGGAGGCAGCAGUGGGAAAUAGUGCGGAAUGGGCGCAAGCCUGAUGCAGCCAUGGCGCGGGUAUGAAGAAGGCCUUCGGGUUGUAAAGGACUUACAGUCGGUAGGCGUUACCGACAGAAGAAGCACCGGCUAACUCCGUGCCAGCAGCCGCGGUAAUUC
rnacentral:rRNA from 1 species